rnacentral:rRNA from 1 species
UGCGUAGGUGGUGAGGUAAGUCGGACGUGAAAUCUCGGAGCUCAACUCCGAAAUGGCAUUGGAAACUACCUCGCUCGAGGGUUUGAGGGGGGACUGGAAUACUUGGUGUAGCAGUGAAAUGCGUAGAUAUCAAGUGGAACACCAGUGGCGAAGGCGAGUCCCUGGAAAACUCCUGACACUGAGGCACGAAAGCCAGGGGAGCAAACA